UAGAGAAACUAAAGCAUAUGUC
rnacentral:miRNA from 1 species